GGUAUGCCUUUUUCACUUAUGGGACGUUCGUUGCGAAGCGUUCCAAAUCGUCGUUGAUUGCGGUCCCAUCUCUAUGUACUCGGAAUUGGGGCUGCUAGGACUUCUGGUUGCUGCGGCUGAGGCAAAUCUAUGUUGAUGCUCGUCAGCUUCUGUGACGUCCUGGGAGGUCGGAUGGAGCCAAAAUCAGCAGAUCCUCGAUCUACACUCACACGUUAUUUGUGGGAUUCUUUUCCAUGCGGUUAAGAGGCUAAAACCUCAGGUUUAGAUGCUGCGAAGGAAGUGGGUAACAGGAAUGUCGAAGUGACUUUUAUUUUCAGGAAAGAGUUUUCAAUUUUGGGAAUAAGGAAUAAUAUAAUGUCACACUUGUGGUAUUUGAAUCGGGAUUUAUUCACUGUUGCAAAUGUUAUAUGUACACUAAUUCAAUUAUGGAAUUUAUUUAUGGAAUGCGACAUGCGAUUAAGAAUUACAUUGUUUGUAAACGGCAAGUUGCUCAGUUGCUAAGCGAUGCUGAUCAAGUGAUUAAUUCCUGAGCAAGUGCAAGUGUGCAAAGGUUUGAAUAAAGCCUGUUACCAAAUGGCCUUGGCACAGUUUGCCUACUGUUACUAUGAAUCAGCUAUGAUUCAUGCGUUUAAGAUUUUCUAGUUAUUCUUGACAUAGUUUUCUAUUUGUUAUGAGUCAGUGAUGGUAAGUAUUGUGGCGGCCUUAACAUUUAACGUUGGCCUACUUUCGCUUACAAACUGACCAUGAGUCACUUGUGACUAAGUAUUAUGGCAGCCUUGAUAUUUAACGUUGGCCUACUUUUGCUUACAAACUGACUAUGAGUCACACUUGUGACUAAGUAUUAUGGCGGCCUUGACAUUUAACGGUAACCUAUUUUUGUUUCCAAAGAGUUAUACUUCGUUAUAAUAAUUCCUUUCUUAUAAUUAACAAACAUACAGUUUGCUCGAAU